rnacentral:misc_RNA from 1 species
AAAACCAACAUGCAUAAAUCGCUGUCAAAAGGCACAAGAAAUGCUUCAUGAAAAUCCCAGAUAUACUUUUCCCUGUUUGUCGAGCCAUAAUAAAUUAUAAAAAUAAGAUGAAUACGGUCCCAUAACCAUUUAAUAUAAAAAAAGCAUACUCAUGUGCACCAUCUGCAUAAGGUGCUUCAUUAGCAUCACAAAUUGAAAUUAGAUUAUUUACAAGGUGAUGCAAAUACUAACCACUGCUUAUUUUGAAGGGGUUCCUACUAUCUGAAGGAAAUA